CCUGUUUAACAAAAACAUGUCUUUUUGAGUUAUUUUUAAAGUCUGACCUGCCCACUGAAAUUAUUUAAAUGGCCGCAGUAUUCUAACUGUGCAAAGGUAGCAUAAUCAUUAGUCUUUUAAUUGAAGGCUGGUAUGAACGGUUGGACGAGGUAUAAGCUGUUUCAUAUAAAUUUAUAGUAGAAUUUUAUAUUUUAGUCAAAAAGCUAAAAUUUAAUUAAAAGACGAGAAGACCCUAUAAAUCUUUAUAUUUUAUAUUAUUUAAAUUUUUUGGAUUUGGUUUAUUUUUAUAUUAUAAAAUAUUUUGUUGGGGUGAUAUUAAAAUUUAAUGAACUUUUAGUUAUUUAAAAUCAUUAAUUUAUGAGUUAUUGAUCCAUUAGUAGUGAUUAUAAGAUUAAGUUACUUUAGGGAUAACAGCGUAAUUUUUUUGGAGAGUUCAUAUCGAUAAAAAAGUUUGCGACCUCGAUGUUGGAUUAAGAUAUAUUUUUAGGUGUAGCCGCUUAAAU
rnacentral:rRNA from 1 species